AUUGAACGCUGGCGGCAGGCCUAACACAUGCAAGUCGAGCGGAGCGUCGGACGGAGGAGUAAUGCCUAGGAAUCUGCCUGGUAGUGGGGGAUAACGUCCGGAAACGGGCGCUAAUACCGCAUACUCGCAGAUGAGACGAGGACGUAGUAGCUAGUUGGUGGGGUAAAGGCCUACAAAGGAGACGAGCCGUAACUGGUCUGAGAGGAUGAUACUUCACACUGGAACUGAGACAGUGUCCAGACUCCUACGGGAGGCAGCAGUGGGGACUAUUGGACAAGGGGCGAAAGCCUGAUCCAGCCAUGCCGCGUGUGUGAAGAAGGUCUUCGGAUGGUAAAGCACUUUAAGUUGGGAGGCGUUACCAACAGAAUAAGCACCGGCUAACUUCGUGCCAGCCGCCGCGGUAAUUC
rnacentral:rRNA from 1 species